rnacentral:lncRNA from 1 species
UGCUGCAUUAGCGGCAAAGAAGAGCUGCUGAGUCUGGUGACACAGCAUUGACAGCGAGGAAAGUGAAAAAAGGGCCUGUUUAAUCCCUAGAGGUGUAGAGUCUGACUAAUGGCUUUUAAUGGGAAGAAAGGCAAGUUCUAGGAUAAACCUGCCCUUCAAGAGCACAUAUUAAAUAAAGGAAACCAACCAUCAAGAAGUCCUGUGCAGCACCUACUAUUCAGAGGCUGUUGAGUGACAGCCCAGCAAGUGCCUGUGGGGAACUCCUGGCUGCAGUGUCACUCCAUUAUCAUGAGAUGUGCAAAGAGACUGGGAAUUGAUCAUCCCCAGAGGACAGCUUCCUGAUGCAAUUAAGACAGAGGUAAGUUCAGAGACGUC